AGAACGAACGCUGGCGGCAGGCCUAACACAUGCAAGUCGAACGAGAAGCCACCUUCGGGUGGUGGAAAGUGGCAGACGGGUGAGUAACGCGUGGGAACGUACCCUUUGGUUCGGAACAACUCCGGGAAACUGGAGCUAAAACCGGAUGAGCCCUACGGGGGAAAGAUUUAUCGCCGAAGGAUCGGCCCGCGUCGGAUUAGCUAGUUGGUGAGGUAACGGCUCACCAAGGCUACGAUCCGUAGCUGGUCUGAGAGGAUGAUCAGCCACACUGGGACUGAGACACGGUCCAGACUCCUACGGGAGGCAGCAGUGGGGAAUAUUGGACAAUGGGCGCAAGCCUGAUCCAGCCAUGCCGCGUGAGUGAUGAAGGCCUUAGGGUGUAAAGCUCUUCGCCAGGGACAUAAUGACGUACCUGGAUAAGGAGCCCCGGAUAACGUUCGUGCCGAGCCAGCCCGACGGUAAUCGUACGAGGUCCCGGGCUCGGGACGAAACGGCCGUACGACGUAAGCG
rnacentral:rRNA from 1 species